UACGUAGGGUGCAAGCGUUAAUCGGAAUUACUGGGCGUAAAGCGUGCGCAGGCGGUUCUAUAAGACAGAUGUGAAAUCCCCGGGCUCAACCUGGGAACUGCAUUUGUGACUGUAGAGCUGGAGUGCGGCAGAGGGGGAUGGAAUUCCGCGUGUAGCAGUGAAAUGCGUAGAUAUGCGGAGGAACACCGAUGGCGAAGGCAAUCCCCUGGGCCUGCACUGACGCUGAGGAGCGAAAGCGUGGGGAGCAAACAGG
rnacentral:rRNA from 1 species